GACGAACCGUGCGAACGUUAUUCGGAAUCAUUGGGCUUAAAGGGCGCGUAGGCGGCGGCGUAAGUUGGAAGUGAAAUCCCAUCGGCUCAACCGUGGAAUCGCUCCCAGUACUGCGUCGCUCGAGGGGGAUAGGGGUCUGCGGAACUACCGGUGGAGCGGUGAAAUGUGUUGAUAUCGGUGGGAACGCCAGUGGCGAAAGCGGCAGACUUGACCGUUCCUGACGCUGAGGCGCGAAAGCUAGGGGAGCAAACGGG
rnacentral:rRNA from 1 species